CAGAGGAAGACCACGAGGGUUUAGGGUGCCAUUUGAAACAGGGCCUUUGUCUGAGGCUUUGGAUUACAGUGACGGUGCCCGUUGACUUGCAUAUUAUGAAUCACCAAGUGCCAUUGUUCAGCUCUUCUGUACCAUUCUACUGAAUAAAGAAAGUCACCUACAUCUUGGAUGGCCCAGGGAAUGAGGUUCCACCCUGUGAUGAAGGCCCAGAGCUCCCCCACGGUCACAUAGCUGUACAGAUAGGCUGAGCCCG